GGAAGACCGCUGAUACAUCUCCUAAACAUGUUUGCCUGAAAAAAACAGCGUCAGCGGGAGCCUAUCUUGGUGUUGGUGACAAUAGGCUCCUCAAGGGAUUGAGGUUGCCUGAAGUCAGCUUACUGGGUUCUUGGAGCAACUCUGAUGGUACACACAAGUCUAUCCUAUUGCCAUGCUGGGAUAUAGCAUCUAAUUCUAAGUUUCUA